UGAAACUGUCAGCAGAUUUCGAGGGCCUCAAGUUUUUUUUAGAAAACAAAACAGCAACACAAACAAACAGGGUAUGGCACGCAAAGACUCCUUUCACAAUUAUUGAGAUUGCAACUUUGGUUUACAUACAUUUCAAAACUAUUGUCAUCUUUAAAUGGCCUUAUAAGACACAGCAUUUAAAUGGGUAACCAGUGUCAUUUUUACACCUCACUAUAAGAGUUAUGUUUUAGAGUUACUGGGAAAAAAAUUGGUGUUUCUUGGCACAUAAUGUCCGUUGUCUU